rnacentral:rRNA from 1 species
UACGUAGGGUGCAAGCGUUGUCCGGAUUUAUUGGGCGUAAAGAGCUCGUAGGCGGUUUGUCGCGUCGGAUGUGAAAACCCAGGGCUCAACCCUGGGCCUGCAUUCGAUACGGGCAGACUAGAGUAUGGCAGGGGAGACUGGAAUUCCUGGUGUAGCGGUGAAAUGCGCAGAUAUCAGGAGGAACACCGGUGGCGAAGGCGGGUCUCUGGACCGAAAUUGACGCUGAGGAGCGAAAGCGUGGGGAGCAAACAGG